GUGGGGAAUAUUGCACAAUGGGCGCAAGCCUGAUGCAGCCAUGCCGCGUGUAUGAAGAAGGCCUUCGGGUUGUAAAGUACUUUCAGCGGGGAGGAAGGCGAUAAGGUUAAUAACCUUGUCGAUUGACGUUACCCGCAGAAGAAGCACCGGCUAACUCCGUGCCAGCAGCCGCGGUAAUACGGAGGGUGCAAGCGUUAAUCGGAAUUACUGGGCGUAAAGCGCACGCAGGCGGUCUGUCAAGUCGGAUGUGAAAUCCCCGGGCUCAACCUGGGAACUGCAUUCGAAACUGGCAGGCUAGAGUCUUGUAGAGGGGGGUAGAAUUCCAGGUGUAGCGGUGAAAUGCGUAGUGAUCUGGAGGAAUACCGGUGGCGAAGGCGGCCCCCUGGACAAAGACUGACGCUCAGGUGCGAAAGCGUGGGGAGCAAACAGGAUUAGAAACCCUGGUAGUCC
rnacentral:rRNA from 1 species